rnacentral:rRNA from 1 species
GAUGAACGCUGGCGGCGUGCUUAACACAUUCAAGUCGAACGAUGAAGCCCAGCUUGCUGGGUGGAUUAGUGGCGAACGGGUGAGUAACACGUGAGUAACCUGCCCCUAACUCUGGGAUAAGCCUGGGAAACUGGGUCUAAUACCGGAUAGGAGCGUCCACCGCAUGGUGGGUGUCGGAAAGAUUUAUCGGUUUUGGAUGGACUCGCGGCCUAUCAGCUUGUUGGUGAGGUAAUGGCUCACCAAGGCGACGACGGGUAGCCGGCCUGAGAGGGUGACCGGCCACACUGGGACUGAGACACGGCCCAGACUCCUACGGGAGGCAGCAGUGGGGAAUAUUGCACAAUGGGCGCAAGCCUGAUGCAGCGACGCCGCGUGAGGGAUGACGGCCUUCGGGUUGUAAACCUCUUUCAGUAGGGAAGAAGCGAAAGUGACGGUACCUGCAGAAGAAGCACCGGCUAACUACGU